UCCCUUCUCCCUCUCUUUUCCCUUUUCUCUCUCUCACUAUACUGCCGUGGCCGCCGCCUCCCAUUGUCGCUGUCCAUCUCCGCCGCACUCUUCCCCGCCGUCGCUUUCUGCCGCCGCCUCCGCCGCACUCUUCCACGGCUAUGCAUCUCGCGGAGAUCUUCGCCUAAUCCACGAGCUAGGGUUUCUGUCGGAAGAUCAAUUCUCGCCGGGGUUUUGUUGGGGGAGACGUAAUCGCCGGCAACCAUGGCCACCAACUUGCAGAUGAGUCCUCAGGUGGAGCAGAUCCACGGUGAAAUCCGUGACAAACUUUCGAGCACUUGCGUAUGUGUCUUUCUGUAUUAUGCAGUGGACCAAUUGCUCAGAUGGCAAAGUAGAAGAAUUGGUUCAAGAAGAUUCUCGAGUAGAUCACUAUCCAAAGUUGGUGAAGGGUGAUCAAACGUGGUAUGGGAAUGGCAAGCUGAAGCGUAGUCCUACCUUAUUUGUUCAAAGAAGCUGAGAAAGAUAUCUUGUUUAUGUUUACAGCAGCAAGGGGCGGCAUUGGUGAAAGUGUGACCUGCAAGAUCAUUGGUGUAAGGGUGUUAUCUUGUGGCUAAUAGUUCCUUUUGAUUUUCAUGAGAAUGGCUGCAGAUUUUCAGUGUACCUAAAUGGAAGCUUGAAAUAGUUGUACAGUAUCUUUGGAAAUACAUAACUAAGGUAGUCCACCGCUAGACUAUUUGAAAAUCUUUCAUAGUUGUACGUUAUCUUUGAAACUGUUGCACUUGGAAAUGCUGAAAUUGAUAUUUACUAUAUGAAAUUGGAUUUGGAUGCUUUUGGUGAGUGUGCAUGUCUUUUUUUUUUUAGGCAUCAAUGUAUGUUAUCCAAUUAUAGAGAUGUAUCUAUAGAUUUUAUAAUGUUGCUGAAUUGUAUGGAAAGUAAACAAGCUUUUUACAGUUUGACUGAGAAUGGAACAAAAUAUUUUAUUUAAAAAUUUUCACUAAACAUCCUUAUCAUUAUGUGCUUUCUUUUGACUCUGUAAGAACAAAUAAUGACCUCUAUCUAUGUAAUAUAGUAUCAGCUGUUAUGUUACUUAUUCUUAAUCACUGGAUUUCAAGAAUUUGUAUGGAGAUCUAUUUGCGGGUGCAAUAUGGACAGCCACUGAAGAACAAGAAAAUAAUGGGAAUUUCAGCACUAACAGAAUUCCCUUCAAUUGUGCAAAUGAUUCUCCUGUAAAAUAUGACACCAUACCUGGAAGCUCCCUUCCAGCUUUAGGCUACAUCUUUUCAUUUGGUGAAAACAAGAAGAAAGAUAUUUAUAUCCUUGCAAGCACUGGUGUUUACCGAGUUGUUCCUCCAAGUCGCUGCAAUUAUGCUUGCUCACUGGAAAAGGUUAGGCAACAUCAGCGUCGUGCAGUGCAAGAUUUAAUGUUGAUGAGCACAAGAGCCAAGGCAAUGGUCUUAGCCUCAAAAGCAAGCAAGUCUCUUCGGAGCCGAAGUUAAUAGAAUUCUGAAAUCACAUGUAUUUUUUUAGUUACCCUACAAUGUAUUAGUAACUUCUUUUAUAUAUGCAACAAAAAA